rnacentral:rRNA from 1 species
GGAUAUUGGUCAAUGGGGGAAACCCUGAACCAGCAACGCCGCGUGAGGGAAGACGGUUUUCGGAUUGUAAACCUCUGUCCUCUGUGAAGAUAAUGACGGUAGCAGAGGAGGAAGCUCCGGCUAACUACGUGCCAGCAGCCGCGGUAAUACGUAGGGAGCAAGCGUUGUCCGGAUUUAUUGGGUUUAAAGGGUGCGUAGGCGGGCUGUUAAGUCAGCGGUCAAAUGUCGGGGCUCAACCCCGGCCUGCCGUUGAAACUGGCGGCCUCGAGUGGGCGAGAAGUAUGCGGAAUGCGUGGUGUAGCGGUGAAAUGCAUAGGUAUCACGCAGAACUCCGAUUGCGAAGGCAGCAUACCGGCGCCCUACUGACGCUGAGGCACGAAAGCGUGGGUAUCGAACAG